rnacentral:rRNA from 1 species
CAGCCGCCGCGGUAAUACGAAGGGGGCUAGCGUUGCUCGGAAUGACUGGGCGUAAAGGGCGCGUAGGCGGUUUGCACAGUCAGAUGUGAAAUUCCUGGGCUUAACCUGGGGGCUGCAUUUGAUACGUGCGGACUUGAGUGUGAAAGAGGGUCGUGGAAUUCCCAGUGUAGAGGUGAAAUUCGUAGAUAUUGGGAAGAACACCGGUGGCGAAGGCGGCGACCUGGUUCAUGGCUGACGCUGAGGAGCGAAAGCGUGGGGAGCGAACAGGAUUAGAGACCCCAGUAGUCCCUGUCUCUUAUAA